AAAAAUUAAAUUAAAAAACAAUAACUGAAAAACGAACAUAAUUCAAAAACACAAAGGAAAAAUAAUAAUUAUUGCCACCCUGUGCUGCUGCCUCUCCAAUGCGCCUUGAUUUGUCUGCAAUUAUGCCGUUACAAUUACCUACCUGUCCGCGAGCACCAACACUUGACAUUACCAAGCAGUGAAAGCAACAACAUUUUUUUAUGCCAUUAUGUUAUAUAAAUAUGAUAAAAGAAAAAUAAAAUAAAAUUCAAAUUAAGUUGCUUAGUUACAAUCGCAUGGCCACGCGUCGAUGCGUUGUCACGUAAGUGAGCGAGCGAGAGCGAAAGGGAAAACGAGAGAGAGAGAGAGUAAAGAAGAAAUAAUGUAUAUGUAUAGCAAACGAAAAUGGUUGAAGAACUAAGGAAAUUAUAUGUAUUAAUACUAUUAAAAUGGUAAAAUAUA